rnacentral:rRNA from 1 species
GGUCAAUAGCCUAACGGCUGAACCAGCAACUUGGAGGAAUGUAUAGCAAUAGCUACUUGCAUCAUUGUAAAAAUGAUGCAGGAUCGACUAUGUCGAAUAAAAUUCUAGGUAGAAUUUUGAUAAUGACAUUGUCUGCCUAUGUGUCUUGACCAAAUUACGUGCCAGCAGUCGCGGUAAUACGUAGAAGACUAGUGUUAUUCAUGUUUAAUCGGUUUAAAGGGUACCUAGACGGUAAAUCAAGCCUAAAAUUAAAUGAAGGGACUAAUUUACUAGAGUUACUUAUGAGGGGGUAUUAAAGUACUGCUGGUGUAGAGAUGAAAUUCUGUCAUACCUCUUUUCAAUAGAAAAAUAAUGGCACAGGUAUAGGCGAAAGCAUCCCCUUAUGUGAUAACUGACGUUGAGGGACGAAGGCUUUGUGUAGCGAACAGGAUUAGAUACCCCAGUAGUCAAAGCAGAAAAUGAUGAAUGUCAUAGAUUAGAUAAAUAAGUUUAUUCUAUAAAUGAAAGUGUAAGCAUUCCACCUCAAGAGUAAUUUGGCAACAUUGGAACUGAAAUCAUUAGACCGUUUCUGAAACCAGUAGUGAAGUAUGUUGUUUAAUUUGAUGAUCCGCAAAAAACCUUACCACAAUUUGAAUAUUUAUAUCUAUUAUUGUUUUUUAUUUUCUCCUGAUUUUAUUUUUGAGGCGAUAUGAUAUAUUUACAAGCGUUGCACGGCUGUCUUCAGUUAAUGUCGCGAGACUUUGGUUAGUUCCAUUAAAUUAACGUAAACCCUUACUUUAUUUUUAUAUAGAGUAGUUCCCCGCUAUAUUGGAUAUGAUAACAGGACUA